rnacentral:rRNA from 1 species
CAAGUCGAACGCGAAAGCGGGGCAACCCGCAAGUAGAGUGGCGAACGGGUGAGUAAUACAUCGGAACGUGUCCAGUAGCGGGGGAUAACCUCUCGAAAGAGAGGCUAAUACCGCAUACGACCUACGGGUGAAAGAGGGGGAUCGCAAGACCUCUCACUAUUGGAGCGGCCGAUGUCGGAUUAGCUAGUUGGCGGGGUAAAAGCCCACCAAGGCGACGAUCCGUAGCUGGUCUGAGAGGACGACCAGCCACACUGGAACUGAGACACGGUCCAGACUCCUACGGGAGGCAGCAGUGGGGAAUUUUGGACAAUGGGCGCAAGCCUGAUCCAGCCAUGCCGCGUGAGUGAAGAAGGCCUUCGGGUUGUAAAGCUCUUUCGGCUGGGACGAAAAGGUCCGUGUCAACACCACGGAUCCAUGACGGUACCAGCAGAAGAAGCACCGGCUAACUACGUGCCAGCAGCCGCGGUAAUACGUAGGGUGCAGGCGUUAAUCGGAAUUACUGGGCGUAAAGCGUGCGCAGGCGGUUUGCUAAGACAGGUGUGAAAUCCCCGGGCUUAACCUGGGAACUGCGCUUGUAACUGGCAAGCUGGAGUGUGGCAGAGGGGGGUGGAAUUCCACGUGUAGCAGUGAAAUGCGUAGAGAUGUGGAGGAACACCGAUGGCGAAGGCAGCCCCCUGGGCUAACACUGACGCUCAUGCACGAAAGCGUGGGGAGCAAACAGGAUUAGAUACCCUGGUAGUCCACGCCCUAAACUAUGUCAACUGGUUGUCGGGGAAGCAAUUCCUUGGUAACGAAGCUAACGCGUGAAGUUGACC